UAGAUGCUGAAGAGGAUGUGGAGAAACGGGAACCCUCUUGCUCUGCUGGUGGGAAUGCAAACUGGUGCAGCCGCUCUGGAAAACAGUGUGGAGGUUCCUCAAAAAAUUAAAAAUAGAACUACCCUAUGACGCAGCAAUAGCACUGCUAGGAAUUUACCCAAGGGAUACAGGAGUGCUGAUGCAUAGGGGCACUUGUACCCCAAUGUUUACAGCAGCACUUUCAACAAUAGCCAAAUUAUGGAAAGAGCCUAAAUGUCCAUCAACUGAUGAAUGGAUAAAGAAGAUGUGGUUUAUAUAUACAAUGGAAUACUACUUGGCAAUAAGAAAGAAUGAAAUCUGGCCAUUUACAGCAACGUGGAUGGAACUGGAGGGUAUUAUGGAGUGGACAGGAGAGCACAGAGAUUCCACACCAGAAUGUGGUCAAGGGGGCUGUUCAUGGCCCCACCCUAGGGGAUGUCCGACUGUCAGAACCAUGCAGUGGAAGCCACAAUAAGCAUGAUACAGGCGCAUAUAUAGAAUUCUCUAGGAAGAUUCCUUCACUAUGGGCUUCGCUGAUCCAGGAUGCUGUUGAGGGGUCGUCCUGCAUUGGUGGCCAUGUUGCUUGUAAAGGAACGAUGUGUUUUCAGUCACCCUGUCAUCCACUGAAAGUUAAAACAAAACCACAGUGAGAAUCUAUAGGUUACAUAUAAAUUUUUUUCACUGCAGGCAGAUUAAAUAACAUGUUCAGGCUGGGCAUUAACUAAAAUGUCUGAGAUUUGACCAUGUCUUCAAUAGACCAUGAAUGUGGGUUUUGGUGACCCAGUCCUCCAAGUAUUUCCAGAAGAAGCAGUGAGAGGAAAUUUUAAAUUCUGACAAAGAUUUAUUAAGUUUCCUCUUUGGUGGGGAAGAAGAACUGUCUAGUGGUAUCUAAAACAUUCAGAACUUGUAAUCAUUCUUGUUCCAAGCAAAUACCAGUUCUUUAGGUUUAUUAGCCUAUAAGAUCACAGAAUUCCAAGAGUAUUCCUGAAAGUUCUCUCUUCUUCAACACUUUCACUCAUAUCUAUUCAUGUCAGUAAAUAAGGUAGCCUUAAUAUAUUAAAAUAUGUAUCAUGUAAAAAGGAAGUGAAAGUUACAAAUAUGGGAAAAGAAUGUGAUACAAAGAAGUGCAUUCUGUAUUUAGCAAGGAAACCAUGAAAACUCCUGAGAAAAAGCUAAAUGUAUGAGGUCACUAACUCAACAUUUUAAAUUCCCCAGUGCUGAAUUUUUAUGGCUUACAAGCAAUCUGAAAGGCAUUAAGUUUCUAGGAAAAAGUGUUGCAAUUCUGGAUUUUUGCCUGUUUUUUGACCCUAACAAGGCUGUUUAAAAAUAAAGUUAUCAACGGAACUUGGUCUGUCUCUAAAAUGAGGAAUAAUACUCUGUCCUUACAAGCCUCUGAUAUCAUAUACCUUCAUACUUUACAAAAACUCAGAUUCGCUGAGGAUUAAAAUAUUAAGAAUCUAGUCAUGCAGAGAAAACAGGAGUUGUUUUCUUUGUCAAA